UACGUAGGGGACAAGCGUUAUCCGGAAUUACUGGGCGUAAAGGGUGCGCAGGUGGUCAGAUAAGUUAGAGGUUAAAAGCAGAGGCUCAACCACUGUCAGCCUUUAAAACUAUCUGACUUGAGUGCAGGAGAGGAAAGAGGAAUUCCCGGUGUAGCGGUGAAAUGCGUAGAUAUCGGGAGGAAUACCGGUGGCGAAGGCGCCUUUCUGGACUGUAACUGACACUGAGGCACGAAAGCGUGGGGAGCAAACAGG
rnacentral:rRNA from 1 species